rnacentral:rRNA from 1 species
UACGUAGGGGGCAAGCGUUUGUCCGGAUUUACUGGGCGUAAAGAGCGCGCAGGCGCCGAGUAAGUCGAAUGUGAAAGCCCCCGGCUCAACUGGGGAAGUCAUUCGAUACUGUUCGGCUUUGAAGAUAGGAGAGGGAAGCGGAAUUUCAGGUGUAGUGGUGAAAUGCGUAGAUAUCUGAAGGAACACCAGUGGCGAAGGUGGCUUUCUGGCC